GAAACUAUUGAUACAAAAAAACAAAAAUCCGUAUUGACCAAAAUUGGGAUUGGCAGGUCAGACUUCUUAAAGAUAG